CCACCCAUCUGUUUUCUUUCUUCUGCUACUUGCCCCAGAUCUACUUACUUUUGGAACUACUCUGGAAUUAUUUCUUCCUUAUGAACUUGCAAAUAAAACAGAGCUCAGAGCAAAAAGGACCAUUAUUGUGAAUCAACAGAAGACUUGGGCUGACAAGAUUUAGCCUGCAGAUGCAUUCAGAAGGUAGAGAUUUGAAGCACAGAGGCUUCAACAUGACAUUGCAAAUAUAUCCGGAAACAGAAGGAAAAAGRUGGCAGCACCUUGUUCUCGCUCACUGCCAUGAAGAUACAAAACACAGCUCAAGAGAGUGCAAAGUAGAUAGAUCAUGUAACAGGAUGAUAUCAAGCCCCAUUCAGAGUAAUAGUAGACCAGCUGUAGAGAUGAUGACUACAGUUUUGAGAUUUUAAAUCAAAAGGGUACCUAAGCACAUACCUAUCUCACACAAGGUGACAAAGCUUAAAUAACCCCUUUCCGUACUAUGCUGAAUUAAUAUGUCUAUGGCAAGGUGUUAUAUCUCAAAAUUUUAACGAGACAAUUAUAAGCAAUGCCUUAGAAAAUCGGUCUUAAACAUGAAAACCCCAAGUAAGCGAUAAAAGGCAUUACUUAAAAGGUACUCAUGCUUUAUGAAACUAUCUGAAUGUCAUAAUAUUUUGAGUUGAGUUAUUUUCCUGCAUAUUUUGA
rnacentral:lncRNA from 1 species